rnacentral:rRNA from 1 species
CAGCACCUCAAGUGGUCAGGAUGAUUAUUGGGCCUAAAGCAUCCGUAGCUGGCUCUGUAAGUUUUCGGUUAAAUCUGUACGCUCAACGUACAGGCCGCCGGGAAUACUGCAGAGCUAGGGAGUGGGAGAGGUAGACGGUACUCGAUAGGAAGGGGUAAAAUCCUUUGAUCUAUUGAUGACCACCUGUGGCGAAGGCGGUCUACCAGAACACGUCCGACGGUGAGGGAUGAAAGCUGGGGGAGCAAACCGGAUUAGAUACCCGAGUAGUCC